GAUGAACGCUGGCGGCGUGCCUAAUACAUGCAAGUCGAGCGAACAGAUCAGGCGCUUGCUCCUUUGACGUUUGCGGCGGACGUGUGUGUAACACGUGUAUAACCUCCCUAUAAGACUGGUAUAACUUCGGGAAACCGGAGCUAAUACCGGAUAACAUUUUGAACCGCAUUGUUCUAUAGUGAAAGAUGGUUUUGCUAUCUCUUAUAGAUGGAUCCGCGCUUUAUUAGCUAGUUGUUAAGGUAACGGCUUACCAAGGCAACGAUACGUAGCCGACCUGACAGGGGGAUCGGCGACACGGGAACGGAGACACGGACCAGAGACCGACGGGAGGCAGCAGAAGGGAAUGGUACGCAAUGGGGGAAAGCAUGACGGAGCAAGGGGGCGUGAGAGAUGAAGGGGUUCGGAGCGUAAAAAUGUGUUAUUAGGGAAGAACAAAUGUGUAAGGAACUGUGCACGGAGUGACGGUAACGAAUAAGAAAGCAACGGCUAACUACGUG
rnacentral:rRNA from 1 species